CCAGCAGCCGCGGUAAUACGAGGGUGCAAGCGUUAUCCGAUUUAUUGGGUUUAAAGGGUCCGUAGGCGGAUCUGUAAGUCAGUGGUGAAAUCUCAUAGCUUAACUAUGAAACUGCCAUUGAUACUGCAGGUCUUGAGUAAAGUAGAAGUGGCUGGAAUAAGUAGUGUAGCGGUGAAAUGCAUAGAUAUUACUUAGAACACCAAUUGCGAAGGCAGGUCACUAUGUUUUAACUGACGCUGAUGGACGAAAGCGUGGGGAGCGAACAGGAUUAGAUACCCUGGUAGUCCACGCCGUAAACGAUGCUAACUCGUUUUUGGGUUUUCGGAUUCAGAGACUAAGCGAAAGUGAUAAGUUAGCCACCUGGGGAGUACGUUCGCAAGAAUGAAACUCAAAGGAAUUGACGGGGGCCCGCACAAGCGGUGGAUUAUGUGGUUUAAUUCGAUGAUACGCGAGGAACCUUACCAAGGCUUAAAUGGGAAUUGACAGGUUUAGAAAUAGACUUUUCUUCGGACAAUUUUCAAGGUGCUGCAUGGUUGUCGUCAGCUCGUGCCGUGAGGUGUUAGGUUAAGUCCUGCAACGAGCGCAACCCCUGUCACUAGUUGCCAUCAUUCAGUUGGGGACUCUAGUGAGACUGCCUACGCAAGUAGAGAGGAAGGUGGGGAUGACGUCAAAUCAUCACGGCCCUUACGCCUUGGGCCACACACGUAAUACAAUGGCCGGUACAGAGGGCAGCUACCUAGCGAUAGGAUGCGAAUCUCGAAAGCCGGUCUCAGUUCGGAUUGGAGUCUGCAACUCGACUCUAUGAAGCUGGAAUCGCUAGUAAUCGCGCAUCAGCCAUGGCGCGGUGAAUACGUUCCCGGGCCUUGUACACACCGCCCGUCAAGCCAUGGAAGUUUGGGGUACCUGAAGUCGGUGACCGUAACAGGAGCUGCCUAGGGUAAAACAAGUAACUAGGGCUAAGUCGUAACAAGG
rnacentral:rRNA from 1 species